rnacentral:lncRNA from 1 species
AAUUAAUGUUAGUCAUACUAUUUAUGUACAUUUCAUUUGCUCUCAAUUCUUGCUUCUAAGUUAUUGGAUCCCUCAUUGACCAUUGUGUGAUGUUCUCGACACAUUCUUAUUCUUAUAUGUUCAUUCUUAUUUUUUGCACAGGUGAAGUGUGAAUCCAAGUCCGAAGGUGUGAAGCAUAUCAGCAAAGAGUAGCAUAUUAUG